GAUGAACGCUGGCGGCGUGCCUAAUACAUGCAAGUCGAGCGAAUGGAUUAAGAGCUUGCUCUUAUGAAGUUAGCGGCGGACGGGUGAGUAACACGUGGGUAACCUGCCCAUAAGACUGGGAUAACUCCGGGAAACCGGGGCUAAUACCGGAUAACAUUUUGAACCGCAUGGUUCGAAAUUGAAAGGCGGCUUCGGCUGUCACUUAUGGAUGGACCCGCGUCGCAUUAGCUAGUUGGUUAGGUAACGGAUGAACAAGGCAACGAUGCGUAGCCGACCUGAGAGGGUGAUCGGCCACACUGGGACUGAGACACGGCCCAGACUCCUACGGGAGGCAGCAGUAGGGAAUCUUCCGCAAUGGACGAAAGUCUGACGGAGCAACGCCGCGUGAGUGAUGAAGGCUUUCGGGUCGUAAAACUCUGUUGUUAGGGAAGAACAAGUGCUAGUUGAAUAAGCUGGCACCUUGACGGUACCUAACCAGAAAGCCACGGCUAACUACGUGCCAGCCGCCGCCGUAA
rnacentral:rRNA from 1 species